rnacentral:piRNA from 1 species
UCAUAAUGCCUUAAUGUAUGC